AUUGAACGCUGGCGGCAUGCUUUACACAUGCAAGUCGAACGGCAGCGCGGGCUUCGGCCUGGCGGCGAGUGGCGAACGGGUGAGUAAUACAUCGGAACGUGCCCAGUAGUGGGGGAUAGCUCGGCGAAAGCCGGAUUAAUACCGUAUACGACCUGAGGGUGAAGGCGGGGGAUCUUCGGACCUCGCGCUAUUGGAGCGGCCGAUGGCAGAUUAGCUAGUUGGUGGGGUAAAGGCCUACCAAGGCGACGAUCUGUAGCUGGUCUGAGAGGACGACCAGCCACACUGGGACUGAGACACGGCCCAGACUCCUACGGGAGGCAGCAGUGGGGAAUUUUGGACAAUGGGCGAAAGCCUGAUCCAGCAAUGCCGCGUGUGUGAUGAAGGCCUUCGGGUUGUAAAGCACUUUUGGCGGGAACGAAAAGGACUGUGCAAAUACCACGGUUCGAUGACGGUACCCGCAGAAUAAGCACCGGCUAACUACGUG
rnacentral:rRNA from 1 species